rnacentral:misc_RNA from 1 species
GAUGAAGAACGCAGUGAAAUGCGAUAAGUAAUGUGAAUUGCAGAAUUCAGUGAAUCAUCGAAUCUUUGAACGCACAUUGCGCCCCCUGGUAUUCCGGGGGGCAUGCCUGUCCGAGCGUCAUUACAACCCUCAAGCUCAGCUUGGUGUUGGGCCCCGCCGCCCCGGCGGGCCCUAAAGUCAGUGGCGGUGCCGUCCGGCUCCGAGCGUAGUAAUUCUUCUCGCUCUGGAGGUCCGGUCGUGUGCUCGCCAGCAACCCCCAAUUUUUUUCAGGUUGACCUUGGAUCAGGUAGGGAUACCCGCUGAACUUAAGCAUAUCAAUAAGCGGAGGA